rnacentral:rRNA from 1 species
UGGUGGUUUUAGCAGAGGGGCUCACCUGUUCCCAUUCCGAACACAGAAGUUAAGCCCUCUAGCGCCGAUGGUACUGCGAAAGCGGGAGAGUAGGUCGCCGCCAGUUU